GGCUCAGUAGCUCAGUUGGUUAGAGCGCGGGACUCAUAAGCCUGAGGUCGGCGGUUCAAAUCCACCCUGAGCCA
rnacentral:tRNA from 2 species